CAAAAACAUUUUUUAACGAUAUCGUGUUAAAUAUGACCUGCUCCUUGUUAAAUAAAAAGCCGCAGGAAAUUUACUGUGCUAAGGUAGCAUAAUCACUUGUCUUUUAAUUUAAGACUAGAAUGAAAGGUUUAACAAUUAAUAUAAUUUUUAAAUUAUGUUUUCUUAACUUUUACUAAAAAUAAAAAUAUUUUUAUAAAAAUAAUAGACGACAAGACCCUAUUGAACUUUACUGAAGUUUAGCUGGGGAAGCUAACUAACUAUUGUCUUAAAUUCCUUAAUUUAUAUAAAAAUCCUUUAAAUUGAAUUUUAAUCAAGUUACCAAAGGGAUAACAGCGUUAUACUUUUUUAAAGUUCUUAUUAAUAAAUUAGUAUACGACCUCGAUGUUGAAUUAAUUUUUCUUACCCACGCAAGCGUGGGUAAAGUAAGUCUGUUCGACUUUUAAAAAAUUACAUGAUCUGAGUUCAAACCGG
rnacentral:rRNA from 1 species